rnacentral:rRNA from 1 species
AUUGAACGCUGGCGGCAUGCCUUACACAUGCAAGUCGAACGGCAGCACGGACUUCGGUCUGGUGGCGAGUGGCGAACGGGUGAGUAAUAUAUCGGAACAUACCCAGUAGUGGGGGAUAACUAUCCGAAAGGAUAGCUAAUACCGCAUACGAUCUGUGGAUGAAAGCAGGGGAUCUUCGGACCUUGUGCUAUUGGAAUGGCCGAUAUCUGAUUAGCUAGUUGGUAGGGUAAAAGCCUACCAAGGCGACGAUCAGUAGCUGGUCUGAGAGGACGACCAGCCACACUGGAACUGAGACACGGUCCAGACACCUACGGGAGGCAGCAGUGGGGAAUUUUGGACAAUGGGGGCAACCCUGAUCCAGCAAUGCCGCGUGAGUGAAGAAGGCCCUCGGGUUGUAAAGCUCUUUUGUCAGGGAAGAAACGGAGUUCUCUAAUAUAGGAUUCUAAUGACGGUACCUGAAGAAUAAGCACCGGCUAACUACGUGCCAGCACG